rnacentral:rRNA from 1 species
GACGAACGCUGGCGGCGUGCUUAACACAUGCAAGUCGAACGGAAAGGCCCUGCUUUUGUGGGGUGCUCGAGUGGCGAACGGGUGAGUAACACGUGAGUAACCUGCCCUUGACUUUGGGAUAACUUCAGGAAACUGGGGCUAAUACCGGAUAGGAGCUCCUGCUGCAUGGUGGGGGUUGGAAAGUUUCGGCGGUUGGGGAUGGACUCGCGGCUUAUCAGCUUGUUGGUGGGGUAGUGGCUUACCAAGGCUUUGACGGGUAGCCGGCCUGGGAGGGUGACCGGCGUCCUUAGGACUGAGAUAGGGCGCAGACUGCUACGGGAGGCAGCAGUGGGGAAUAUUGCACAAUGGGCGGAAGCGUGAUGCGGCAACGCCGCGUGCGGGAUGACGGCCUUCGAGUUGUGAACCACUUUCGCCUGUGACGAAGCGUGAGUGACGGUAAUGGGUAAAGAAGCACCGGCUAACUACGUG